rnacentral:tRNA from 1 species
GGGCGAAUGGUUUAGUGGUAUAAUACUCCCUUAGCAUAAUUCGACCGAAUGAUCUGGGAGUGGUCCAGGGUUCGAUUCCCUGUUCGUCCA